rnacentral:rRNA from 1 species
CCUACGGGAGGCUGCAGUGAGGAAUAUUGGUCAAUGGGCGCGAGCCUGAACCAGCCAAGUCGCGUGAGGGAAGACGGUCCUAUGGAUUGUAAACCUCUUUUGUCGGGGAGCAAAAGACGCCACGCGUGGCGUUCCGAGAGUACCCGAAGAAAAAGCAUCGGCUAACUCCGUGCCAGCAGCCGCGGUAAUACGGAAGAUGCGAGCGUUAUCCGGAUUUAUUGGGUUUAAAGGGUGCGCAGGCGGAAGAUUAAGUCAGCGGUAAAAUUGAGAGGCUCAACCUCUUCGAGCCGUUGAAACUGGUGUUCUUGAGUGAGCGAGAAGUAUGCGGAAUGCGUGGUGUAGCGGUGAAAUGCAUAGAUAUCACGCAGAACUCCGAUUGCGAAGGCAGCAUACCGGCGCUCAACUGACGCUCAUGCACGAAAGUGUGGGUAUCGAACAGGAUUAGAUACCCCAGUAGUC